rnacentral:tRNA from 1 species
GCCCGGCUACCUCAGUCGGUAGAGCAUGAGACUCUUAAUCUCAGUGUUGUGGGUUCGAGCCCCACGUUGGGCA